ACGGAGAUACAAAAACAGUCGCUC
rnacentral:siRNA from 1 species